rnacentral:rRNA from 1 species
AGUGAACGCUGGCGGUAGGCCUAACACAUGCAAGUCGAACGGCAGCACAGUAAGAGCUUGCUCUUACGGGUGGCGAGUGGCGGACGGGUGAGGAAUACAUCGGAAUCUACUUUUUCGUGGGGGAUAACGUAGGGAAACUUACGCUAAUACCGCAUACGACCUACGGGUGAAAGCAGGGGAUCUUCGGACCUUGCGCGAUUGAAUGAGCCGAUGUCGGAUUAGCUAGUUGGCGGGGUAAAGGCCCACCAAGGCGACGAUCCGUAGCUGGUCUGAGAGGAUGUACGGCCACACUGGAGCUGAGUCACGGGCCAGACUCUUACGGGAGGCGGCAGUGGGGAAUCUUGGCCAUUGGGCGGAAGCCUCAUCCAGCCACACCGCGUGGGUGAAGAAGGCCUUCGGGUUGUAAAGCCCUUUUGUUGGGAAAGAAAGGCAGCAGGUUAAUACCCGGCUGUUCUGACGGUACCCAAGGAAUAAGCACCGGCUAACUUCUG